rnacentral:lncRNA from 1 species
UAAAGCUUUGCCAAGGGUUUGUGGAAACAGAAUAAAAGUGACCCACAGCUGGUCAGUGGUGGCGUACACCUUUAAUCCCAGCACUUGGGAGGCAGAGGCAGGCGGAUUUCUGAGUUCGAGGCCAGCCUGGUCUACAGAGUGAGUUCUAGGACAGCCAGGACUACACAGAGAAACCCAGUCUAAAAAAAAGAAAAAAGAAAAAAAAAAAAAAGUGACCCACAGUGGAGUUAGUUGUUCCUGCUGAUUAACACUGAAGCCUUCUCCGUGAGAUUUCACAAGACCUGGGAUAAGGCAGUUUCUGGAGAAGCUGUAUGCUAUCUUCUGCCAGCUUGGAGGCCAGGCAGCCGGAUCACACACAGGAGUGGGAAUGGCUUCAGUCUUAGAGGAAUGAGUCCCUGCAGCCUGGGGCCCACACUGAGCUGGGCUCGUCUCUCUAGGCCCCUCUUUUCCCUCUGCUACUUGGAAGCUCCCGGAGUUUCCCUAUGUAUUUACUCCUUACUAUAUUGGAAUUCCCAGAAGAAGCAGCUUAAUGGGAAGAAGGAUUUAUUUUGGCUUCAUGCUUUGAGAGGGCUGUCUUUAUGGAAGGGAAAGCAUGGCAACAGGAACAGGAGGCUGCUGGUUACGUUGUACUCAGGAAGCAGAACUCAGGAAGAACCGCAUCUUACCAGCCCGCUUCCUUUAGCAAGGCCCCACUUCCUGAAGGAUCCUGAACCACUGCCAAAAGUUCCAGCUAAGGACCACCUGCUCAAACACACGAGCCUGUUAGGGAGUGGUAUACUCAAAUCAGACAUCCCUCCUUGUCAUUCAGGCCAGAACUGUGGCCAGCUUCCUGCAGAGUUGGGUAGAGUGGUGUCAGUGACCUCUCAGUCCCCGCUUUCUUAGGGUUGUCUCUACUUUCUGCUACAUCGCCAUUUGUGCUUUUUGGUGGUGGUGUUUGUUUCUGUUUGUUGGUUGGUUUUUUGAGACAAGAUUUCUCUGUGUAGCUCUGGUUGUCCUGGAACUUGCUUUGUAGACCAGGUUGGCCUGGAACUCAGACAUACACCUGCUUCUACCUACCGAGUGCUGAGACUAAAGAUGAGCCACAUGCCUGACUGCCAUUUAUGCGUUUACAGUUGAAAAACAGGGCUGGGGACAGUGCUCAGUGGAAGAGCAAUUGCCUAGCUUGCAAGUGGCCCUUGUUUUGAUCCCUAGUAC